rnacentral:rRNA from 1 species
AUGGAAGGCCUAGCGGCGAUGUGGCUGCAGGCGUACAGAUACAAACACCCUGGAGUCAAUUGGGCAACAUUUAGAGCAGCAGUAGAGGAGGAAUUCGGACCAGAGGAGUUCAAAGUACAGAUGCACACAUUGGUUCAACUGAAACAGACAGGCACAGUUCAGGAAUACCGUCAGGAGUUCGAGACAACCAUGUAUCACUUGCUCUCCUUGGAUCCGACAUUGAGCCCCAAGUUCUUCAUCUCGCAGUUCCUGCUGGGCCUCAAGGACGAGCUCCGUCUUGGCGUGCGGCUCCAGGCACCAACAAGCAUCACAAGGGCAGCUGUGUUUGCACACAUUCAGGAAUAG